UCUUAGUGUAUCCACACAACAACAAAAAUUAACGUAUUCCAUCUGCAGGUCUCAAGUCUUGGAUGUAGCACAAGGAACUAAUGCAGAUAAGGGAAUCCCCACUGAUAAAGGCAAAGAGAUCGAACCUCAUCUUCAAUCUCCUCCAAAAAGGCACAAACAAGGACCGCUGACAAUCAAAGAGUAGACAAGACCAAGGCACCACCAAGAAUGAUAUGUGCAACCACAUGGAACUAAUUCAAAAAUGGCUACUGUCUUUAUUCUGUGCAAGCUAGCCACCCUUUUGCAACUUUAUAAAUGUAGUACUGACAUGCCACAAACAGUUCAUAUGGCUAGCUCAUUUUCCUUUUGAAUGACUGCCUUUUUUACAAAAGGCAUAAAUAUUGUAUAAUUAAUAUUCGGAUCACACUAAAUGCUUAAUGCUUUAAACAUUAUAUA